AUCCAGCUGACGAGUACCAAAUAGGACGAAACAUGCAUCCUGUAU
rfam:Schistosoma rodhaini strain Burundi genome assembly, scaffold: SROB_scaffold0000749